rnacentral:rRNA from 1 species
ACGCUGGCGGCAGGCCUAACACAUGCAAGUCGAGCGGUAGAGAGAAGCUUGCUUCUCUUGAGAGCGGCGGACGGGUGAGUAAUGCCUAGGAAUCUGCCUGGUAGCGGGGGAUAACGUUCGGAAACGGACGCUAAUACCGCAUACGUCCUACGGGAGAAAGCAGGGGACCUUCGGGCCUUGCGCUAUCAGAUGAGCCUAGGUCGGAUUAGCUAGUUGGUGGGGUAAUGGCUCACCAAGGCGACGAUCCGUAACUGGUCUGAGAGGAUGAUCAGUCACACUGGAACUGAGACACGGUCCAGACUCCUACGGGAGGCAGCAGUGGGGAAUAUUGGACAAUGGGCGAAAGCCUGAUCCAGCCAUGCCGCGUGUGUGAAGAAGGUCUUCGGAUUGUAAAGCACUUUAAGUUGGGAGGAAGGGCAGUAAAUUAAUACUUUGCUGUUUUGACGUUACCGACAGAAUAAGCACCGGCUAACUCUGUGCCAGCAGCCGCGGUAAUACAGAGGGUGCAAGCGUUAAUCGGAAUUACUGGGCGUAAAGCGCGCGUAGGUGGUUAGUUAAGUUGGAUGUGAAAUCCCCGGGCUCAACCUGGGAACUGCAUUCAAAACUGACUGACUAGAGUAUGGUAGAGGGUGGUGGAAUUUCCUGUGUAGCGGUGAAAUGCGUAGAUAUAGGAAGGAACACCAGUGGCGAAGGCGACCACCUGGACUGAUACUGACACUGAGGUGCGAAAGCGUGGGGAGCAAAC